rnacentral:RNase_P_RNA from 1 species
AGAGUCAGCUGGGCAAUCGCCGGUCGUUUGCGACGGGAGGAAAGUCCGGGCUCCAUAGGGCAGGGUGCCAGGUAACGCCUGGGGGGCGAGAGCCUACGGAAAGUGCAGCAGAGAGUAGACCGCCGAUGUGUGUUAACGCCGUCGGUAAGGGUGAAAGGGUGCGGUAAGAGCGCACCGCGCACGUGGUAACACGUUGUGGCUAGGUAAACCCCACCUGGAGCAAGGCCAAAUAGAGAUCCCAUGAUACGGCCCGUAUCGGAUCUGGGUAGGCCGCUUGAGGUUGUCGGUGACGGCAACCCUAGAUGAAUGAUUGUCCAUGACAGAACCCGGCUUACAGGCUGACACUCACC